rnacentral:rRNA from 1 species
CAGUCGCCGCGGUAAUACGAAGGGUGCAAGCGUUAAUCGGAAUUACUGGGCGUAAAGCGUGCGUAGGCGGUUUGUUAAGUCUGUUGUGAAAGCCCUGGGCUCAACCUGGGAAUGGCAAUGGAUACUGGCAAGCUAGAGUGUGUCAGAGGAUGGUGGAAUUCCCGGUGUAGCGGUGAAAUGCGUAGAGAUCGGGAGGAACAUCAGUGGCGAAGGCGGCCAUCUGGGACAACACUGACGCUGAGGCACGAAAGCGUGGGGAGCAAACAGGAUUAGAUACCCCGGUAGUCCCUGUCUCUUAUAC